CGAGAUGUAAACAAUGCAGACAGCAUGGCUGAAUCGAAGGUGAGCGUGGGAGAGAAGAAGAAGAGGAAUUGUUCACCAAUUCUUUGCAGCCUUUCAGAGGAGGAAUUGGGUGAUACACCCCUUCAUGCACGAGUGGAGAGAUCAGUGCCUCAAGUUAUAUCUGGAAAACUCAUACCAGGAAGCACUCCAAUCUUACAAUACUGCAUCACUUCAAUAUCGGUGUGACAAGUUGUGUAAAAGACUGCUACAAAACAUUUGCAUUGAUGACCACAUGAUCCACCACCUUUUACCAAAACCGAGUGAACAGUUUUAUAUUAUAAUUCCCAUGUACAUGUAUUUAAAGUGACAAGACUGAGAUCAGCGAGAGCCUCAAGGCCUUUAUUUUCUGGGCAUUGUCAACUCUUCAAUAAUUUUAUAAUUUUGGCAAAUACAUCCAAAGAUUCAAUUCUAAUGCAAUUCUUGAAAACUUUUUUAGAAUAUAUUUUAAUGUCGAACAUGUUUUUCUAAGAACUAGCCCUUUAGUAAAUUAACAACAUGUACUAUCCAACUGUUAUUAUUAUUAACAUAUUGUUAUGUACAAAGCAUAAGCUGCAGUAUCAAUGUAGCAUUAACUGGGUAGAGAUUAUGAAUGAAAUAAAAGUUUAAAUAUUGAAA